rnacentral:lncRNA from 1 species
CAGACUGCGAAUGCACCUGAAACAAAAACUCACAAAACAAUAACCCCAAACUAAAGGGAGGGAAGGGAGGGUGGCCACCGUCAAUGACGGUUCUUGUGCUACACCCCCUUCCCAAUCCUCCCCCCUACGGAGGUGGCUCAGGAGAGGGAUGCUGACCCCGCUCCACCACUGGCCUACCCCACUUAGGUGGCGCCUCUAGAGCGGGGUCCCUCGCCGCCGGACAGGCGGGCGACUCUGGCUGCGCCGGACAGGCGGGCGACUCUGGCUGCGCCGGACAGGCGGGCGACUCUGGCUGCGCCGGACAGGCGGGCGACUCUGGCUGCGCCGGACAGGCGGGCGGCUCUGGCUGCGUCGGACAGGCGGGCGGCUCUGGCGGCUCUGGCGGCUCCGGACUGGCGGGACUAGCAGUAGGCCUGGCUCUGGGUGCAGGCACAGGACUCACCAGGCUGGGGAGACAUGCAGGAGGCCCGGCUCUGGGAGCAGGCACAGGACCCACCAGGCUGGGGAGACAUGCAGGAGGCCUGGCUCUGGGAGCAGGCACAGGACUCACCAGGAUGGGGAGACAUGCAGGAGGCCUGGCUCUGGGAGCAGGCACAGGACUGACCAGACUGGGGAGACAUGCAGGAGGCCUGGCUCUGGGAGCAGGCACAGGAUAGACUGGGUCUUGAGGAUGUACUGGAGGUCUGGAGCGCACAGCCUGCACAACCCAUCCUGGCUGGGUUGUAACUGUAGCCCUGCACAGGCAGAGUGCUGGCACAGGGCGAACUGGGCUGUGCUGAGGCAUGAUGGCUGCCGUGCGUAGAGCAGGCGCAGGGUAGCCUGGGCCUAGGAGACGCACUGGUGGCCAGAUGUGCUGAGCAGGCAUACUCCUACCUGGCUGGAUGCCCACUCUAGCACGGCACUUGCGGGGGGCUGGAAUGUAGCGCACCAGGCUAUGAGCGUGCACUGAAGACACCGUGUGCUCUAUCGCAUAACACGGUGCCUGACCAGUAACACGCCGCUCCCGGUAAGCACGGGGAGUUGGCUCAGGUCUAAUGCCUGACUCCACCAAUCUCCCCGUGUGCCCCCCCCCAUCAUUUUUUUGGGGCUGCCUCUUCACCUCCACCUGCUUCCCCGGCAGGCUGUUGCAAUGGUCCAAUAGCUCUUCCCAAGUCCAGUCUAUUCUUCCCUCCAAUUCCUCCAGCGACCAGGAUGCCAUCACCUCCCGAGCACGCUGCUUGAUCUACUCCUGGUGCUGCUCCCGUCCACGCUGCUUGGUCCGUUGGUGGUGGGUGGUUCUGUAACGGCUUUUGAAUGGAGUAGACCAAGGCGCAGCGUGGUUAGUGCUCAUCAUAAUAUUUUAAUGGACCAUUUUAAACAAAACAAGAAACGAAUGACAGCCAAAACAGUUCUGUCAGGUAACAACACUAAACAGAAAUUAACCACCCACAAAACCCAAAGGAAAACAGGUUACCUAAGUAUGGCUCCCAAUCAGCGACAACGAAGUACAGCUGUCCCUGAUUGAGAGCCAUACCAGGCCAAAACAAAGAAAUACAAAACAUAGAAAAAAGGACAUAGAAUAAAACCCCAAAACACCCCCUGCCACGCCCUGACCAAACUACAAUAACAAAUAACCCGUUUUACUGGUCAGGACGUGACAUGAGAGCCCCGAGACAAAAGUACAAAGGUCUUUUAUAGCCAAGAUACACCCCUUUCAGUCUACAUGACGAACAACAGAUGUAUGGAAUGGGUCACAAGGUUAAGAUUUGUAUGAAAGAUACUUAUAAUUCACAGCAGACAGUAUCUGCUGUAAAAACAGUACUCUUUGUGUACAGACCAGGGUCUGACCCUGGGGUCAUCUCUCCCUGGUACCUUAUAGAACAGAAACAUUAACUCAUGCUCUGGAAUGCGGUCUCUUUAGGUUUUAUCACCCAAAAGACAUCAUAAAUCUCCUGUCAGUGUUAUCUCCCAGAGGCCCACUUUCAGUUCACACAGACACAAUAGAGUUAUAAGAACCCUCUAUUCUGUUGCAUAAAACAACCAUUUGAUGCAAUAAAAGUAUUAUAACAUAAUCUUGUAAUUUCCAACAUACGCCGCUGAGCUCUCAAAUACCGUGCCCGUCUCUCCUUGGGACGUCCCUACCCUGAACCCUACACUAGAACUCUUACCUAACCUAAACUUAAUGAAGUAGAAAUUAAAAUGGUUGACGUAGGGAUAUCCCAAAGAUCCCAAAUAGCACGGCCCCUCUGGGAAAGCCUAUGAACUCCUCUAUUCGCUGAAAGCCAUGGACACAACUCUUAUUGGUUGUCUGAUGUAGGCUACUGGGACUGUAUACAGUACCAGUCAAAAGUUUGGACACACCUACUCAUUCCAGGGUUUUUCUUUAUUUUGAUUAUUUUCUAAAACUAUAAAAUAACACAAAUGGAAUUAUGUAGUAAACAAAAAAAGUGUUAAACAAAUCAAAAUAUAUUUUAUGUUUGAGAUUAUUCAAAGCAGCCACCCUUUGCCUUGAUGACAGCUUUGCACACGCUUGGCAUUCUCUCAACUAGCUUCAUGAGGUAGUCAUCUGGAAUGCAUUUCAAUUAAAAGGUGUGCCUUGUUAAAAGUCCAUUUUUGGAAUUUCUUUCCUUCCUAAUGUGUUUGAACCAAUCAGUUUAGUUGUGACAAGGUAGGGGAGGUAUACAGAAGAUAGCCCUAUUUGGUAAAAGAUCAAGUCCAUAUUAUGGCAAGAACAGCUCAAAUAAGCAUAGAGAAACGAUAGUCCAUCAUUACAUUAAGACAUGAAGGUCAGUUGCAAAAAUCCUGAACCUCUAUGAUGAAACUGGCUCUCAUGAGAACCGCCACAGGAAAGGAAGACAUAGUCACCUCUGCUGCAGAGGAUAAGUUCGUUAGAGUUACCAGCCUCAGAAAUUGCAGCCCACAGAGUUCAAGAGUUCACAGAGUUCAAGUAACAGACACAUUUCAACAUCAACUGUUCAGAGGAGACUGCGUAAAUCAGGCUUUAAUGGUCGAAUUGCUGCAAAGAAACUACGACUAAAGGACACCAAGAAACACCAGCAAUGGAUAUUAGACUGGUGGAAAUCUGUCCUUUGGUCUGAUGAGUCCACAUUUGAGAUUUUUGGUUCCAACCGCUGUGUCUUUGUGAGACACAGAGCAGGUGAACGGAUGAUCUCCGCAUGUGUGGUUCCCACCAUGAAGCAUGAAGGAGGAGGUGUGAUUGUGUGGGGGUGCUUUUCUGGUGACACUCUGUGAUUUAUGUAGAAUUCAAUGCACAAUUAACCAGUAUGGCUACCACAACAUUCUGAAGUGAUACGCCAUCCCAUCUGGUUUGCGCUUAGUGGUACUAUCAUUUGUUUUUCAACAAGACAAUGACCCAACACACUGUGUAAGGGCUAUUUGACCAAGAAGGAGAGUGAUGAAGUGCUGCAACAGAUGACCUGGCCUCCACAAUCACCCGACCUCAACCAAUUCAGAUGGUUUGGGAUGAGUUGGACCGCAGAGUGAAGGAAAAGCAGCUAACAAGUGCUCAGCAUAUGUGGGAACUCCUUCAAGGCUGUUGGAAAAGCAUUCCAGAUGAAGCUGGUUGAGAGAAUGGCAAGAGUGUGCAAAGCUGUCAUCAAGGCAAAGGGUAGCUACUUUGAAGAAUCUUAAAUCUAAAACAUAUUUUGAUUUGUUUAACACUUUUUUGGUUACUACAUGAUUCCAUAUGUGUUAUUUCAUAAUUUGUAUGUCUUCACUAUUAUUAUUUUACAAUAUAGAAAAUAGUCAAAUAAAGAAAAAACCCUGGAAUGAGUAGGUGUGUCCAAACUUUUGACUGGUGUUGUACAGCGAGAUAAGAUAACAUACCAUCCCAUGAGGUGUUGAGGGAAUGAUAAAUUACCUAUAGAUUAGAUAUAAUCUUUUCUAGGCAGUUAGCGAUAACAGGAAAUACACAAGCCGUAGGCUACACUAUAGUUCAAGGUGGCUACAUCGGAAUGUUGGCUUGCACAGAAAAAAAACAGUACGUUUCUAUUAUGGUUGAGAUUUAAUGAAUAUAAAUAUAAACUAUGCACCUUAUGACUUUCAUUAACACACAGGCGUCACGCAGAUGUUAGUAAGGCAUUGGUAUGACGACAUGUUAGUUACACGUUCAAUGGUAGGUGACAGCCACACGGUGGUACUGUUGCCUAGGUUAAUUAACACGCAUUUUAAGGCCAAGUCUAAAUCAAGUCUCAAAUGCCUUUUGGCAAUGGCUUUCUGCCUGAAGAGACUCCCUUGUUCAUUUUCCAAUACUUGUAUGAAAAAAGCACUUCAGGCACUAUUUCAAUCAAAAGACAUUUCCUUUUAAAAUGUAGAUAGUUUACAUUAAUAAAAGUAAUUGUACCAGAUAUGAAAAAAAAGCAAACAUAACAUUUUAAAGUGCAUGUUGCAAUGCAUUGUACCUACCAAUCAGACUUCUUCAAUUCAGCUUUAUCUUCAUGUGGUAUGAGGACAUCAUGAUCAAGCCAGAACAGGCAGAAAGAUGGGUCCAGCUGUGCAGCCAUUAUGUAUACAUUGUCACCAAAUGGAGGUUUUGUUGCCUGGUAAUCCAAGUGCUCCAUUCUGACAUUCACAAACACCCCCUGGAAUCAGCGUUUGAGUGACUGCUGCAAUGCUUUUACUAGACUGACUAGGUGACGACUUGUGCUCAGUAUACUUUGCAGAUGAUAGUUGAGUGACAGUACACAAGGAAAGGCAGCACUGAGAGUCAGCACAUUCUCCCCCUGAGUAAGGUUGGUGGCCUGGACAAAAGCGUCCAAUAGCUGGCUCCAUUCCCUUGGUGAUAAGCAGAGCUCCUUGUGUCCUUGGGCCUCAACUAGAGUAUUGAGGCUUUGUUGAUUCAGAUUGGUGACUGCUUUAACAUGCCGGAGGAUAGAAUUCCAUCUGGUAGACACAGCAGCAGGGACACUACUAUUGACUCCGAACUCAGCUUCAAAUGCUUCUUUCAGACCACAGUCAAGAAAUGAUGAGCCAGAGCAACCAAUCAGCAUCACUGCAAUUGUUCUACCCACCACCCACACUGCUCUCCCUUGACAAGCAACCACAUCCUCUUCUCCUGUUCAACUAAUUUGCCGCCACACUGAGAAGGACUGUACAUACAUACCUCUGUGCCCAUCUCAUUGCAACAUGAUCCAUCCAAGGCCAAAGCUGGACGCUUAAAAUGACAAAGAAGAUCGUACAUUUUUCCUGAUCAAAGAGAGGUUUUGAAAGCGUUCUUUGACCAGGGAUUGACCUGGAGAGGGUCGCCUCUGCUGGCUGAGGCAGCCAACAGAACUGGACUGUCGGAGAGUGUAGAGCUCAUAGAGCUCCACAAACAGGUGGCAGAUAUUUUUACGCAGGAUACUUUGGGCUGCACCUUUCUCCAUUAUGCAGUGGAGGUGAGCUGCAAGGAGAUUGACAAGUAAAUCAUAGACAACGAACAUCAUGCAACCGGUUUCCACCGCCUAUUACUGAGGUCAACUCUCUACUAUUAAAGGUCUGUCCUCAAAUAAUAAAAUUAAAAUAGACCUAAUUUAUAUGAAUUACUCAGUUCCUGGAUAAAGUAUGUCAACUGGGUCAAACCUGGUGGAGGCCGGGGCUUGCCUCAUGAAGACUGACCUUCAGGUAAAUUAAAUUGAAUCAGGCUGAUGGUUAUCAUAAUUACCUAGCUCUAGUGUCAGGAAUCCCACUUCCUGAGUCUGUUUUCUGCCUGAGCUGACUGUUUUUUGUUUUGGAGUCUGUUUCCUGAGGUUCCUGAAUGCACCCUGUCUGGUUGCCAGGCGACGAAGCUAGGCGGGAGAUCUCUUGAUUACCCGCACCUGCAUCUCAUCAGCCAUCUGCACAUCUGGUCCUGAUCAUCACCUCUUCACUUCAUAAGCUCUGACCUGACAUCCAUUCCCUGCCGGAUCGUUAGCAAUGAACAUCAUCCUCCUGGAACAUUCAACUCCCUUGCCUGGCUGUCGGUGGUUUCAGUGACAUCAUUGGAUCUGCCUAUUCACUCUCAUCAACUCACCUCCGCUGCCACUCCGUCUCCUGGAUUAUUCUAUUUUCACCUCGAGACUGGUGAGACGCUGAAGCGGCGUGCAAAGAAGGCAAAUGACCAGGAGCUGGCUGAGUACUUGGAGAACCGCCAGUACUACCAGAUGAUCCAACGAGAGGACCAGGAGACUGCUGUAUGAUGAUCCCGCUAUUUACUGCAACCGCACCACACUCUGUCUCUCUCUCUGUUUGCCAUACCUAACAAUAGAAAGCCCUGUACUGGAUUCGAGGGAGGAGGGAGGUGUCUACCCUCUAACAGACCAGGCUGGCUACACCAUAGAAAUAGAAUGACUAUAGAAUGACUAUUACUAUGGGUUACACUACUAGUAUGGGUCAAAGUGUACAGGUGAGCCAGUGGAGGCAGGUCUUCAUUUCUUCCUCUUGCUAGUGAUGCUUCAGUUUGACUAGAGUGUUGAGUGCUAUGUGUCAAGAGUGCAUGUAUGUUAACCGCUUUUCUUCUAUUAUGAAUGGG